rnacentral:rRNA from 1 species
UACGAAGGGGGCUAGCGUUGUUCGGAAUUACUGGGCGUAAAGGGCUCGUAGGCGGCCCACUAAGUCCGACGUGAAAUCCCCAGGCUUAACUUGGGAACUGCGUCGGAUACUGGUGGGCUUGAAUCCGGGAGAGGGAUGCGGAAUUCCAGGUGUAGCGGUGAAAUGCGUAGAUAUCUGGAGGAACACCGGUGGCGAAGGCGGCAUCCUGGACCGGUAUUGACGCUGAGUGAGCGAAAGCCAGGGGAGCAAACGGG